rnacentral:rRNA from 1 species
CCUACGGGAGGCAGCAGUGAGGAAUAUUGGUCAAUGGACGAGAGUCUGAACCAGCCAAGUAGCGUGAAGGAUGACUGCCCUAUGGGUUGUAAACUUCUUUUAUAUGGGAAUAAAACGUUCCACGUGUGGGAUUUUGUAUGUACCAUAUGAAUAAGGAUCGGCUAACUCCGUGCCAGCAGCCGCGGUAAUACGGAGGAUCCGAGCGUUAUCCGGAUUUAUUGGGUUUAAAGGGUGCGUAGGUGGAUUGUUAAGUCAGUUGUGAAAGUUUGCGGCUCAACCGUAAAAUUGCAGUUGAAACUGGCAGUCUUGAGUACAGUAGAGGUGGGCGGAAUUCGUGGUGUAGCGGUGAAAUGCUUAGAUAUCACGAAGAACUCCGAUUGCGAAGGCAGUUCACUGGACUGCAACUGACACUGAGGUUCGAAAGUGUGGGUAUCAAACAGGAUUAGAUACCCUUGUAGUC